UUUUUCCGCUAGAUUUAGCGGGAAAAUUUUUCCGCUAGAUUUAGCGAGGAAAUUUUUCCGCUAGAUUUAGCGAGGAAA
rnacentral:pre_miRNA from 1 species